rnacentral:rRNA from 1 species
GGUUAAGCGACUAAGCGUACACGGUGGAUGCCCUGGCAGUCAGAGGCGAUGAAGGACGUGCUAAUCUGCGAUAAGCGCCGGUAAGGUGAUAUGAACCGUUAUAACCGGCGAUUUCCGAAUGGGGAAACCCAGUGUGACUCGUCACACUAUCAUUAACUGAAUCCAUAGGUUAAUGAGGCGAACCGGGGGAACUGAAACAUCUAAGUACCCCGAGGAAAAGAAAUCAACCGAGAUUCCCCCAGUAGCGGCGAGCGAACGGGGAGGAGCCCAGAGCCUGAAUCAGCAUGUGUGUUAGUGGAAGCGUCUGGAAAGGCGCGCGAUACAGGGUGACAGCCCCGUACACAAAAGCGCAUGUGUUGUGAGCUCGAUGAGUAGGGCGGGACACGUGGUAUCCUGUCUGAAUAUGGGGGGACCAUCCUCCAAGGCUAAAUACUCCUGACUGACCGAUAGUGAACCAGUACCGUGAGGGAAAGGCGAAAAGAACCCCGGCGAGGGGAGUGAAAAAGAACCUGAAACCGUGUACGUACAAGCAGUGGGAGCCCCACCACUAAGCCAGUGGUGAACUCCACAUACGCAUCCUUUGCUGAAGGUGCGGUUAACGGAGCGCAAGCGACGUUCAACCUCAAAAGAAGCAGAGGGGGCUUAGUGGUGGGGUGACUGCGUACCUUUUGUAUAAUGGGUCAGCGACUUAUAUUCUGUAGCA